UUGUCGAGACCGAAAUAUAAUACCGAGCGAUUCGGAGAACCCGUGAAAUGAUCGAACGGCCGUAUUAGUCGUUGCCUCCAUCACCUCUUCGGGGGAUGUGGGGGCCACGACGGAGGACGGAUUAAAACACAAAUCGGCGCAGCAUCGCGCCAAGGAAAGACGGAAAAGCACGAGCCCCGCGUCGGGCUCGGUGGCGUGGAGUGCUGUUGCACGACAUGCUGAUGGACACGACUCUCGGCAAUGGAUAUCUCGGCUCUCGCAUCGAUGAAGAGCGCAGCGAAAUGCGAUACGUGGUGCGAAUUGCAGAAUCCCGCGAACCAUCGAGUCUUUGAACGCAAGUUGCGCCCGAGGCCAGCCGGCCAAGGGCACGUCCGCCUGGGCGUCAAGCGUUGCGUCGCUCCGCGCCAGUUCCGUCCCGCGAAUGGGCGUGUCGGUCGAAGCUCGGAUGCGUAGAGUGGCUCGUCGUGCCCGUUGGCGCGACGGGCUAAAGUGCAGGUUGCGUCUCGCUGGCCGGGAACAACAAGGGGUGGGUACAAGCUGUUAGCGCAGCCUACGUUGUCUCGUGCCGGCUCGAGAGACGGAUUGUCCCUACAAUGUGAUCCCAAACCAUGCGCCGAUCUGCAUGCGGCGGCUUGGAAUGCGACCCCAGGACGGGCGAGGCCACCCGCCGAGUUUAAGCAUAUC
rnacentral:rRNA from 1 species